rnacentral:rRNA from 1 species
CUAAGAAUAUUCCGCAAUGGACGAAAGUCUGACGGAGCGACGCCGCGUGGAUGAAGAAGGCCGAAAGGUUGUAAAAUCCUUUUGCUGAGGAAGAAUAAGUGUGGGAGGGAAUGCCCGCAUGAUGACAUGAAUCGGCGAAUAAGCCCCGGCCAACUACGUGCCAGCAGCCGCGGUAACACGUAGGGGGCGAGCGUUGUUCGGAAUUACUGGGCGUAAAGGGCAUGUAGGCGGUUAUGUAAGCCUGGCGUGAAAGUCCACAGCUUAACUGUGGGAUUGCGUUGGGAACUAGAUGACUAGAGUUACGGAGAGGGAGCUAGGAAUCCUGGUGUAGGGGGGGAAUAUGUAGAGAUCAGGAAGAAUACCGGGGGCGAAGGCAAGCUCCUGGGCGAUGACUGACGCUGAGGUGCGAAAGUGUGGGGAUCAAACA